CAACCUGGUUGAUCCUGCCAGUAGUCAUAUGCUUGUCUCAAAGAUUAAGCCAUGCAUGUCUAAGUAUAAACUUUUAUACGGUGAAACUGCGAAUGGCUCAUUAAAUCAGUUAUCGUCUAUUUGAUUGUGCCCUUACUACAUGGAUAACCGUAGUAAUUCUAGAGCUAAUACAUGCGAAAAGUCCCGACUUCUGGAAGGGAUGUAUUUAUUAGAUUAAAAACCAAUGCGUUUAACGACGCUCUUCGGUGAUUCAUAAUAACUGUUCGAAUCGCACGGCCCUCGCGCCGGCGAUGUUUCAUUCGAGUUUCUGCCCUAUCAACUUUCGAUGGUAAGGUAUUGGCUUACCAUGGUUACAACGGGUAACGGAGAAUUAGGGUUCGAUUCCGGAGAGGGAGCCCGAGAAACGGCUACCACAUCCAAGGAAGGCAGCAGGCGCGCAAAUUACCCAAUCCCGAUUCGGGGAGGUAGUGACAAUAAAUAACGUUGCAGGCGCCAACGGCUUCUGCAGUCGGAAUGAGUACAAUAUAACACCCUUAACGAGGAACAAUUGGAGGGCAAGUCUGGUGCCAGCAGCCGCGGUAAUUCCAGCUCCAAUAGCGUAUAUUAAAGUUGUUGCAGUUAAAAAGCUCGUAGUUGGAUUUCGGAACCGGCCGAUUGGUCCGUCCUCUGGAUCGUGUACUGAUCGGUCUGUUCUUCUUCGCGAAGACCGCGUGUGCCCUUAACUGGGUGGGCGCGGGAUUCGCGACGUUUACUUUGAAAAAAUUAGAGUGUUCAAAGCAGGCAUUCGCUUGAAUAUCUCAGCAUGGAAUAAUAGAAUAGGACUUUGGUCUUAUUUUGUUGGUUUCCGAGACCGAAGUAAUGAUUAAUAGGGACAGUUGGGGGCAUUCGUAUUUCAUUGUCAGAGGUGAAAUUCUUGGAUUUAUGAAAGACGAACUUCUGCGAAAGCAUUUGCCAAGGAUGUUUUCAUUAAUCAAGAACGAAAGUUGGAGGCUCGAAGACGAUCAGAUACCGUCCUAGUUCCAACCAUAAACGAUGCCGUCUGCGGAUCGGAGGUCGCUCACGUAAGGCUCCUUCGGCACGCUAUGAGAAAUCAAAGACUUCGGGUUCCGGGGGGAGUAUGUUCGCAAGAAUGAAACUUAAAGGAAUUGACGGAAGGGCACCACCAGGAGUGGAACCUGCGGUUUAAUUUGACUCAACACGGGAAAACUCACCAGGUCCAGACAUAGG
rnacentral:rRNA from 1 species